rnacentral:rRNA from 1 species
UACAGAGGUCUCAAGCGUUGUUCGGAUUCAUUGGGCGUAAAGGGUGCGUAGGCGGCGCGGUAAGUCGGGUGUGAAAUCUCGGGGCUUAACUCCGAAACUGCAUUCGAUACUGCCGUGAUUGAGGACUGGAGAGGAGACUGGAAUUUACGGUGUAGCGGUGAAAUGCGUAGAUAUCGUAAGGAAGACUAGUGGCGAAGGCGGGUCUCUGGACAGUUCCUGACGCUGAGGCACGAAGGCCAGGGGAGCAAACGGG